UCUCUCUCUCUGCAAUUUCUCACCAUCCUUCAUCAUAUUCAAGCUUUAAGAAUUCUAAAUCUUCAUCUUCCUAUUUCCUCAAGCUCCAACAAUUUUCGUUCUUCAUCACGCAUCACUACAUCUUCAACCUUCAUCACCAUUCCCUUCAAUCUUCUCAGUAACCACUCUUUGAAUAUCCCUGAGAUCUUGCAACCUUCAACAAUCAUCAUCAUCAUCAGUCCUCAUUGCAUCUUCAACAAAUUGCAGAAACGCAACGCAUCAUUGUAUCACAAUGCGAAUCAAGCGCAAUACACACAAAAGCAGAAAGUAGAAGAGAAGAAGAGGAAGAAUCGAGAGCGAAUCAUAUACCUGAGCUGCUGUUCUCUGGAUCACUCAUUGUAUUCGUCAAGCAUGAAUACGCGUUGGACGAGCUCCGACUGGUAA